rnacentral:rRNA from 1 species
UACAGAGGGGGCAAGCGUUAUUCGGAAUUAUUGGGCGUAAAGGGCGCGUAGGCGGUGAUUUAAGUCGGAUGUGUAAUCCCCGAGCUUAACUUGGGAACUGCAUCCGAGACUGGGUUGCUAGAGUGCUGGAGAGGGUGGUGGAAUUCCUCGUGUAGCGGUGAAAUGCGUAGAGAUGAGGAGGAACACCAGUGGCGAAGGCGGCCACCUGGACAGUAACUGACGCUGAGGCGCGAAAGUGUGGGGAG